rnacentral:rRNA from 1 species
CAGUAGCCGCGGUAACACGUAGGUGGCAAGCGUUGUCCGGAAUUAUUGGGCGUAAAGCGCGCGCGGGUGGUUUAAUAAGUCUGAUGUGAAAGCCCACGGCUCAACCGUGGAGGGUCAUUGGAAACUGUUAAGCUUGAGUGCAGGAGAGAAAAGUGGAAUUCCUAGUGUAGAGGUGAAAUGCGUAGAGAUUAGGAGGAACACCAGUGGCGAAGGCGGCUUUUUGGCCUGUAACUGACACUGAGGCGCGAAAGCGUGGGGAGCAAACAGGAUUAGAUACCCCAGUAGUCCCUGUCUCUUAUAC